AGAGGGAGCCCGGCCCGAGCUCUGGGCCCUAGGAAGCAGAGCAUCGACACCAUGGCCUUGAUUCCUCUCUUCAUGCUGCUAGCUCUCUGCACAGGGAGCAGGGCUCAGCCUGUGGUGACUCAGGAGCCUUCUCUGACGGUGAUCCCAGGAGGGACAGUCACCCUGACCUGCAGCUCCAGCACAGGGACGGUCACCUCUGGGCACUAUCCAGCGUGGGUCCAGCAGAAAUCUGGCCAGUCCCUAAGGGGGCUCGUUUACGACAUCAGCAGUCUUGUACCAGGUGUCCCUGCUCGGUUCUCAGGGUCCCUCCUUGGGGACAAAACUGCUCUCACCAUCAAGGGGGCCCAGCCUGAGGAUGAGGCUCAGUACUACUGUGUGCUGUGGUAUAGCAGUGCUACACAGUUUCACAGUGAUAAGCUCACAUGAGGAACUGGGACAAAAACUUUCUCUGGCUCACGCAAAUGCCACAUGUAGAGAUUCCCCCGAUCUCUAAGAUACCCAGUUUCUUGCCUAGGUAGGC